rnacentral:rRNA from 1 species
UACAGAGGGUGCGAGCGUUAAUCGGAAUUACUGGGCGUAAAGCGCACGUAGGUGGCGACGUAAGUCGGGUGUGAAAGCCCCGGGCUCAACCUGGGAAUUGCAUUCGAGACUGCAUUGCUGGAGUACGGAAGAGGAAGGCGGAAUUCCCGGUGUAGCGGUGAAAUGCGCAGAUAUCGGGAGGAACAUCAGUGGCGAAGGCGGCCUUCUGGUCCAGUACUGACACUCAAGUGCGAAAGCGUGGGGAGCAAACAGG